rnacentral:tRNA from 4 species
GGGCAGUUAGCUCAGUGGUAGAGCGCUUCGUUCACACCGAAGAGGUCGCUGGUUCGAGUCCAGCACUGCCCACCA